GCUUCUAUUGAUUAGCGGCGGACGGGUGAGUAACACGUGGGCAACCUACCUGUAAGACUGGGAUAACUUCGGGAAACCGAAGCUAAUACCGGAUAAUUCUUCUUUACACAUGUAGAGAAGCUAAAAGACGGUUUCGGCUGUCACUUACAGAUGGGCCCGCGGCGCAUUAGCUAGUUGGUGAGGUAACGGCUCACCAAGGCAAGAAAGAGUAGCCGACCUGAGAGGGUGAUCGGCCACACUGGGACUGACUCACGGCCCANAGACCUACGGGAGGCAUCAUUCCG
rnacentral:misc_RNA from 1 species